ensembl:misc_RNA Metazoa_SRP Metazoan signal recognition particle RNA
GCCAGGCGUGGUGGCGCAUGCCUGUAAUCCCAGCUACUGGGGAGGCUGAGGCAGGAUAAUCGCUUGAACCCGGGAGGCAGAGGUUGCGGUGAGCUAUCGCGCCAUUGCACUCCAGCCUGGGUGACAGAGCGAGACUCCGUCUCAA